GCAGCAGUGAGGAAUAUUGGGCAAUGGAGGCAACUCUGAUCCAGCCAUGCCGCGUGCAGGAUUACGAUCGACAAGAUUUUAAACUGCUUUUAUAAUGGGAAAAUCAUCAAUUUGCGAAUUGAUUUGCUGUUACAUUAUGAAUAAGAAUCGGCUAACUCCGUGCCAGCAGCCGCGGUAAUACGGGGGAUUCAAGCGUUAUCCGGACUUAUUGGGUUUAAAGGGUGCGUAGGCUGAUAAAUCAGUCAGCGGUGAAAUUUACGGGCUUAACUUGUAGCUUGCCGUUGAAACUAUUUAUCUAGAGAUAUUUCGGCGUAUGCGGAAUGUAUCAAGUAGCGGUGAAAUGCAUAGAUAUGCUACAGAACACCAAUCGCGAAGGCAGCAUACGAGGCAUCAUCUGACGCUGAUGCACGAAAGCGUGGGGAUCAAACAGGAUUAGAUACCCUGGUAGUCCACGCUGUAAACUAUGAUAACUAUCUUUUAGCGAUACACAGUUAGAGGGUACGAGAAAUCAUUAAGUUAUCCACCUGGGGAUUACGUUCGCAAGAAUGAAACUCAAAGGAAUUGACGGGGGCCCGCACAAGCGGAGGAGCAUGUGGUUUAAUUCGAUGAUACGCGAGGAACCUUACCCGGGCUCGAACGGUACAUGAAUUAUAUUGGAAACUGUAUAAGUCUUUCGGGACAUGUAUCGAGGUGCUGCAUGGUUGUCGUCAGCUCGUGCCGUGAGGUGUCAGGUUAAGUCCUAUAACGAGCGCAACCCCUAUAUUUAGUUACCAGCACGUAGUGGUGGGGACUCUAGAUAUACUGCCUACGCAAGUAGUGAGGAAGGUGGGGAUGACGUCAAAUCAGCACGGCCCUUAUGUCCGGGGCUACACACGUGCUACAAUGGUCAAAACAGCGGGCAGCUACUCAGUGAUGAGAUGCUAAUCCAUAAAAAUUGAUCACAGUUCGGAUCGAAGUCUGCAACUCGACUUCGUGAAGUUGGAUUCGCUAGUAAUCGCAUAUCAGCCAUGAUGCGGUGAAUACGUUCCCGGGCCUUGUACACACCGCCCGUCAAGCCAUGGAAGCUGGGGGUACCUAAAAUGCGUGACCUACGGGAGCGUAUUAGGGUAAGACUAGUGACUGGGGCUAAGUCGUAACAAGGUAGCCGUA
rnacentral:rRNA from 1 species